rnacentral:lncRNA from 1 species
CUUGAUUAUCAAAUGUGAGAUAACUACUGUAUACUGACCCAUCUCAAAGAACUCUGGAGAGAACACAAUCAUCAAAGUGGAGUUCAGUCACUUUGGAAAUUGACAUAAAUGCUACUAAGCACUGCUUUAAAGAAUUUUGAUUAUGCACCGGCCACUUCUUAACCAAAUUAGUAUAAUGAUGUCAUGGGUUAAACUGUGACCUUCAGAAAGGGCUGAGAGGAGAGUACUUCCCAGGAAACCAAGUACUACAGCUGCCAAAUAAUUCCUGCUCUGGCCAGGGUGGCUUCAGGCCCUUGCAAGGUUCAUCAGGUAACUCUGAGGAGACGGCACCAUCAACUAUGAUUUAUGAGCCAUGAAAAUCCGGUGGACUAAGAUCCCCAGGGCCUCUACCCUCCCUCUCAGUGUUACUGUGAUAAUGGGUUGGAGGUGGUAUUGGUAAUAAAGCGGGCUGAGUGAGAAAG